CAAAGUGGUCAUGGCAGCAGAGAUGGUGGUUACAUGUGAGCCCAACAGCCUAGAUUCAAACUUACUGAUCUAGGUACUGCUGCCUUUGAAUGUCCAAUCAAGAACAGAGACUAAUGCUGAGACCCUUACUUGGAACUGUUCCUUUGUUUGGUACUGGGUUCUAGAAUCAGGAAGUAGAAGCAGUAGUGACUGCACUGCACUUACUAUUACUCCGCAUGAUUCAUUGGAGAACUUUAUGCUUCUUAUUCCUAUACCUUUGGGUUUUGCAGGAAUAAGAGCCUGAUUUCUUGUAAUGGGGCAGUUUAGCCAGGGAACCGGGGAAGCAUCUCAUUGAAUUCUAAGCUGUAAUGUGAUACACAUCUCACUCCUAAUUCACAUCUCAUCUUUAGUCCCAUUUAAGUUUCUGCUUUGAGAACCCAGCCUGUGAGAAGAAAGUUCCUGUUCAAGGUUAAUAGAGAAGAUUCUAAGUAAAUAAAAUGUCUAAUUCUAAUUA